rnacentral:rRNA from 1 species
GACGAACGCUGGCGGCGUGCCUAAUACAUGCAAGUAGAACGCAGUUGCGAACGGGUGAGUAACGCGUAGGUAACCUGCCUCAUAGCGGGGGAUAACUAUUGGAAACGAUAGCUCAUACCGCAUUCUGUGAGAUGGCCCUGCGUUGUAUUAGCUAGUUGGUGAGGUAAAGGCUCACCAAGGCGACGCUACAUAGCCGACCUGAGAGGGUGAUCGGCACAACUGGGACUGAGACACGGCCCAGACUCCUACGGGAGGCAGCAUUGGGGAAUAUUGCACAAUGGGGGAAACCCUGAUGCAGCCAUGCCGCGUGUAUGAAGAAGGCCUUCGGGUUGUAAAGUACUUUCAGUUGUGAGGCGUUAGCAACAGAAGAAGCACCGGCUAACUCCGUGCCAGCAGCCGCGGUAAUAC